CUAAAUCCCUUAACGAGGAUCAAUUGGAGGGCAAGUCUAGUGCCAGCAGCCGCGGUAAUUCCAGCUCCAAUAGCGUAUAUUUAAGUUGUUGCAGUUAAAAUGCUCGUAGUUGGACCUUGGGUUGGGUCGACCGGUCUGCCUAUGGUGAGCACCGGUCGGCUCGUCCCUUUUGCCAACAAUGCGCUCCUGGCCUUAACUGGCCGGGUCGUGCCUCCGGCGCUGUUACUUUGACGAAAUUAGAGUGCUCAAAGCAAGCCUACUGUCACGCCCCAAAAAUAGACCCACAAAAUUUUUUGAAAUUAAGGCUCCUUAGCAUUGCCCAAGGGGAGGCAACCAAGUCCCAAACAGUCCAAAGACCUUAGGAAAUUAAGCAAAGACACGCAUGGGUCAUGACACAGCCGUUGGAGCCCACGGACGCAUGAGCGGCAGCCAAGC
rnacentral:ncRNA from 1 species